rnacentral:rRNA from 1 species
AUUGAACGCUGGCGGCAGGCCUAACACAUGCAAGUCGAGCGGAUGAGAAGAGCUUGCUCUUCGAUUCAGCGGCGGACGGGUGAGUAAUGCCUAGGAAUCUGCCUGGUAGUGGGGGACAACGUUUCGAAAGGAACGCUAAUACCGCAUACGUCCUACGGGAGAAAGCAGGGGACCUUCGGGCCUUGCGCUAUCAGAUGAGCCUAGGUCGGAUUAGCUAGUUGGUGAGGUAAUGGCUCACCAAGGCUACGAUCCGUAACUGGUCUGAGAGGAUGAUCAGUCACACUGGAACUGAGACACGGUCCAGACUCCUACGGGAGGCAGCAGUGGGGAAUAUUGGACAAUGGGCGAAAGCCUGAUCCAGCCAUGCCGCGUGUGUGAAGAAGGUCUUCGGAUUGUAAAGCACUUUAAGUUGGGAGGAAGGGCAGUAAGCUAAUACCUUGCUGUUUUGACGUUACCGACAGAAUAAGCACCGGCUAACUCUGUG